GAUCGGCCCGCGUCUGAUUAGCUAGUUGGUGGGGUAAUGGCCCACCAAGGCAACGAUCAGUAGCUGGUCUGAGAGGAUGAUCAGCCUCACUGGGACUGAGACACGGCCCAGACUCCUACGGGAGGCAGCAGUGGGGAAUAUUGGACAAUGGGCGCAAGCCUGAUCCAGCCAUGCCGCGUGGGUGAUGAAGGCCCUAGGGUUGUAAAGCCCUUUCGGCGGGGAAGAUAAUGACGGUACCCGCAGAAGAAGCCCCGGCUAACUUCGUGCCAGCAGCCGCGGUAAUACGAAGGGGGCUAGCGUUGCUCGGAAUCACUGGGCGUAAAGCGCACGUAGGCGGAUUGUUAAGUCAGGGGUGAAAUCCUGGAGCUCAACUCCAGAACUGCCUUUGAUACUGGCGAUCUCGAGUCCGGGAGAGGUGAGUGGAACUGCGAGUGUAGAGGUGAAAUUCGUAGAUAUUCGCAAG
rnacentral:rRNA from 1 species